GAUGAACGCUGGCGGCGUGCCUAAUACAUGCAAGUCGAGCGAACAGAUAAGGAGCUUGCUCCUUUGACGUUAGCGGCGGACGGGUGAGUUACACGUGGAUAACCUACCUAUAAGACUGGGAUAACUUCGGGAAACCGGAGCUAAUACCGGAUAACAUAUUGAACCGCAUGGUUCAAUAGUGAAAGGCGGCUUUGCUGUCACUUAUAGAUGGAUCCGCGCCGUAUUAGCUAGUUGGUAAGGUAACGGCUUACCAAGGCAACGAUACGUAGCCGACCUGAGAGGGUGAUCGGCCACACUGGAACUGAGACACGGUCCAGACUCCUACGGGAGGGAGCAGUAGGGAAUCUUCCGCAAUGGGCGAAAGCCUGACGGAGCAACGCCGCGUGAGUGAUGAAGGUCUUCGGAUCGUAAAACUCUGUUAUCAGGGAAGAACAAAUGUGUAAGUAACUGUGCACAUCUUGACGGUACCUGAUCAGAAAGCCACGGCUAACUACGUG
rnacentral:rRNA from 1 species